CUGCCGCAUCUCUAUGUCCAACCUCCUGUCCUGUUCCCAGGAGGGGAACUGGACCAAUCACCUUGGAGCCAUGCCUAGCCAGGAAAGCAGCUGCCUGCCUCAAGUCCUCUUUGGUGGAAGAAGUCACACUAGUGCAGUGGGGUGGACACAUGGAGGAGCCCUGCAUCAACCGGAGGAGGGAGAGAAGCCUGGCCAGCUCCUGGCCCCUCCAGGUCCAGCUGCCAUCCAACUGCAAUCCCCUAGAGCCUCCAAACCAGAACCGCCCUACAGUCCUUGCAAAUUCCUGGUCCCCAGAAACCAUCUGAGACCGUGAAAUGUCUGCAGAUAUUUUAAGCCACUAAAUUUGGGGAGCAAUUUGUUAGGCAGCAAAUGGACCUGCACUGGAGAAUAUGGGUAGUUUUUUGGUUUUUCAAAACAGCUUGUUCUCCCAGUAUGAUCUUUGUUUACACUGAAGCCUCUGUUUGGACUUUGCCAUAUUAGAGACUUGAAUCCCGUGACAAGUGAUGGAUGGUGUGGGAGGUGAGAGUGAGGCUGGACGUGUUGCCCAGAAGCUUGUUACUGGGUGGGCAUCACAGCUGGGUGGCAGGUCUGGCCCAUUUGUAUCUACCAGCCACCUCUUUCAGAGAUGACACUUUAUCCCCAAAACAAUCCUCCAGUUGUUCUCUGAUGGAGUUUGUAGGCAGGACUCUGGAAGCCUCAAUGAAAACUUUCACUCAAUCCUGCUAUCUGGAGUCCGCCCCUCUAGUGAGGGAACUGCUAGUCUUCUGCCUGAUCUGGCUUUAGGGACAGCUACCCCGCUGUAAGGAGAAGCUUGGCUUCAUUUAUAAAUUUGAAGCCAAUCCUCUGUUGUCAACUCCAUCUUUCUGAGACACCUGGGGCCCCAUAUCUAAGCCUUUCUGGGGGUCAGAGCACAAGUCGGUUGCUUGAAGGAUUUUUUCCUUCCACCAACUAAGGCUCUAGCCUUUGUCUAUUCAGCUUCACCAUUUACUUUCUGUCUUCCCCUGUCCUCUUUGCUCAGGUUGACUUGUAUUUUUUUAAUCCUUUUACAAGGAUUUAAGGGUGAAGCAAAAGAGAACAGGUGUGAUCAAUCUGUCACAUUUAAGUGGAACUGGAGCCUCUAAUAUCUUAAUGAAUAGUUCACCAAAUAAAUAGGCUCAAAGAACAUAAAUUAAAAAUUCAUCAAAGAUUGAAUUCAGAUAGUAAAGAGAUUGAAAACUGUUCUGUUUCACUGUAGUUUGUUCUAACAGGGCGAAGGUGAGGUGUCCAAAUCCUUUUCUCAUUAGGAAAUAUGAAAAUGAAGAUAUCCG